UUUCAUUUUUCAUAAAAACCAAAGCCAGCGCAGAGCGAAACAUAUUUUUUUUUUAUAACCAAUAUAAAGAAGAAAGACAUUCAACAUUUACUCUUUAACCCAUUUGAACAAAAUAUUAAGCUUUUAAGUCUUUAUUGGACAAUAGAAAAUGUUCGAAAACUUACUAGAUUUGAGUAAGCACAACAAGGAUAUACCAAGAAUCUAAGAUAAUUUUAUAGAUUUUUAAAAAAAAAAUGUCCAUUUGUAUAUAUAAAUAGGCACGUGUUACGAAUCACUCAGGAGCAUUCUUACGAAAACCGUGUACACAUAAACAUACAUUGGCUGUGAAAUUGCUCUUGUUGAGGGUUGGACGCCCUUCGCAUAAUAUGAGCUUAAACACGUAUAUUCAAACGUUUCACGUUUAGGCGACGAAACGGGCGAUAUUUAUUUGAUCGCGUCAUAUUCACACAUAAAAAUAAUUUUCUUAUGUGUUUCUUGUGGUUUCGUUCCAAAGGACAAUUUGCGAUAGCUACUACCAUCAUGACUGAAAUCAUUCGGUGUUUUAUAUGGGUCUCUUUACAGAUAACUUUCAAUGGGGAGUACACACAAACCCCCCACUGCCAACAUCUUUUACCAUUUAAAUUUCGGUUAUGAGGGAGGAGCGAAUGAAAAAAGUAGUGACCCUAAGCAGCCCCCCCCCCCCUCUAAACUCAAUUCCUGGUUCCACCCCUGGUUUUGAGAUAUAUUUUGUACAUGUACACAGUUUUUGCAGUAUUUCCUGAUAUAGCUUGGUUUUCCGAAUGGAGAGUGAAACUCUUUAAAUAUGUUUCAUUUUUUUACAUUCACGCCUUCAAACUAUCCCCCUCCCCCUUAGUUUUCGUCAAAUUUAAUGCGUGAAGAGAAAUAAAUAGGAUUUAAAAUUGUCGCUUGAUAAGCAUAAUCAUAACUAUAACUAUGUUUUAUUUUUUAUUGACGAUAUUGAUUUAUCUAACGCUAAAGGGAAUUGCUUUAUUAUCUACAAGCGUGACGCUCGACUGAUGCACGAUCCAUACCUGAUCUGAAGUUCGUUGACACCACUUUUCUAUUCGAUUGAUCUGGCUUUAACACUACAUGUAGGCAUUUUGCAAUAGAUUCAAUUCAUGUCUGUCUGGGCCAAAGGAUCUUUCAUAAGAAUCUAAUAUAAAAACAUACGUCAAUGAUUUAAAUGUCUAUGAAGGAAGGGUAAACACGUAUCAAUGAACAACACGACAUGGAUAUGUAUGAGAGAACAUUAAAGACCAUCAUCGAAUGGGAAUAAUAGUUGAUAUCAUGGAACAUAACAUAUACAGAUAAACAGAGGAGGUACCAAAUUACAAAUAACAAAAACAUCAAACCUUUAUAUCGAUUUGGGAAGUAAUAAACCAGUAUGGGUACAAGCUAAAUUGAUUAUGUCAAAAAGUUUGAAACAUGAAAUAUUAAAUGGCACACAAUAUAGGUUAUUAUGUUUAGCACAAUAUAGGUUAUUAUGUUUAACACAAUAUAGGUUAUUAUGUUUAGCACAAUAUAGGUUAUUAUGUUUAACACAAUAUAGGUUAUUAUGUUUAACACAAUAUAGGUUAUUAUGUUUAACACAAUAUAGGUUAUUAUGUUUAACACAAUAUAGGUUAUUAUGUUUAACACAAUAUAGGUUAUUAUGUUUA